rnacentral:rRNA from 1 species
UACGAAGGGGGCUAGCGUUGCUCGGAAUCACUGGGCGUAAAGCGCACGUAGGCGGACUCUUAAGUCGGUGGUGAAAUCCUGGAGCUCAACUCCAGAACUGCCUUCGAUACUGAGAGUCUCGAGUCCGAGAGAGGUGAGUGGAACUGCGAGUGUAGAGGUGAAAUUCGUAGAUAUUCGCAAGAACACCAGUGGCGAAGGCGACUCACUGGACCGGCAUUGACGCUGAGGCGCGAAAGCUAGGGGAGCAAACGGG